AUGCCUCACCACCACGGCGCGCUCCCCGACGAGGAGGCCCCGUCGCCGCGGCCCUCCGCCGCCGGCUGCUACACCUUCCUCCGCUCGGCCGCCUCCCGCCGCGGCCACGGCCACGGAUACCGGCGCCUCGAGUCGGCGUCCGUCGACGUGGUGAGGGUGGAGGUGGGCACGACGGCAAAGGCGAGGAGCGUGUUCCACGUGGACCCGGCAGUACUGGAGGCCGAGCCAGUGCGCCGGCUGCUGGCCGCGGCUGGGCGCCGGACCGCUGGCGGCGCGGUGGCGGUGGCCGUGGACGCGCUGCUGUUCGAGCACCUGCUCUGGCUGGCCGCCACCGACGGCGCGGCCGCCGACGACCUGUCGGAGAUCGUGGAGUUCUACUCGGAGGAGGAGGAGGACGAGGAGCACCACGACGACGGCCACGGGUUCAAGCUCAAGCGCUAG
rnacentral:rRNA from 1 species